ensembl:piRNA 21ur-1641 ncRNA
UAGUAUAUUGUAUAUUGAUGA